rnacentral:rRNA from 1 species
UACAUGGGGUGCAAACGUUGCUCGGAAUUAUUGGGCGUAAAGCGCGCGUAGGCGGUUACUUAAGUCGGAUGUGAAAGCCCUCGGCUUAACUGAGGAAGUGCACCCGAAACUGAGUAGCUGGAGUACGAAAGAGGGUCGCGGAAUUCCCGGUGUAGAGGUGAAAUUCGUAGAUAUCAGGAGGAACACCCGUAGCGAAGGCGGCACUCUGGGCCGAUACUGACACUGAGGAGCGAAAGCGUGGGGAGCGAACAGG